UACGUAGGGGGCAAGCGUUGUCCGGAAUCAUUGGGCGUAAAGCGCGUGUAGGCGGCUGAGUAAGUCUGCUCUGAAAGCCCGGGGCUCAACCCCGGGAGGCGGGUGGAUACUGCUCAGCUCGAGUCCGGAAGAGGAGUGUGGAAUUCCUGGUGUAGCGGUGAAAUGCGCAGAUAUCAGGAGGAACACCGAUGGCGAAGGCAGGUCUCUGGGCCGAUAUUGACGCUGAGGAGCGAAAGCGUGGGGAGCAAACAGG
rnacentral:rRNA from 1 species